GAUGAACGCUGGCUACAGGCUUAACACAUGCAAGUCGAGGGGAAACGACGGGGAAGCUUGCUUCCCCGGGCGUCGAACGGCGCACGGGUGAGUAACGCGUAUCCAACCUGCCUCUGACUGAGGGAUAACCCGCCGAAAGUCGGCCUAAUACCUCAUGGCAUCGUCUGCGGGCAUCCAACGACGAUUAAAGAUUUCAUCGGUCAGGGAUGGGGAUGCGUCUGAUUAGCGUGUUGGCGGGGUAACGGCCCACCAAGGCUACGAUCAGUAGGGGUUCUGAGAGGAAGGUCCCCCACAUUGGAACUGAGACACGGUCCAAACUCCUACGGGAGGCAGCAGUGAGGAAUAGUAGUCAAUGGGCGGGAGCCUGAACCAGCCAAGUAGCGUGCAGGAUGACGGCCCUAUGGGUUGUAAACUGCUUUUAUGCGGGGAUAAAGUGAGGGACGUGUCCUUCAUUGCAGGUACCGCAUGAAUAAGGACCGGCUAAUUCCGUG
rnacentral:rRNA from 1 species